AGAGUUUGAUCCUGGCUCAGAACGAACACUGGCGGCAGGCUUAACACAUGCAAGUCGAACGCCCCGCAAGGGGAGUGGCAGACGGGCGAGUAACGCGUGGGAAUCUACCGUACCCUACGGAAUAACGCAUGGAAACGUGUGCUAAUACCGUAUACGCCCUACGGGGGAAAGAUUAUCGGGGUAUGAUGAGCCCGCGUUGGAUUAGCUAGUUGGUGGGGUAAAGGCCUACCAAGGCGACGAUCUAUAGCUGGUCUGAGAGGAUGAUCAGCCACAUUGGGACUGAGACACGGCCCAAACUCCUACGGGAGGCAGCAGUGGGGAAUAUUGGACAAUGGGCGCAAGCCUGAUCCAGCCAUGCCGCGUGAGUGAUGAAGGUCUUAGGAUUGUAAAGCUCUUUCACCGAUGAAGAUAAUGACGGUAGUCGGAGAAGAAGCCCCGGCUAACUUCGUGCCAGCAGCCGCGGUAAUACGAAGGGGGCUAGCGUUGUUCGGAAUUACUGGGCGUAAAGCGCACGUAGGCGGAUAUUUAAGUCAGGGGUGAAAUCCCGCAGCUCAACUGCGGAACUGCCUUUGAUACUGGGUAUCUCGAGUAUGGAAGAGGUGAGUGGAAUUCCGAGUGUAGAG
rnacentral:rRNA from 1 species